UGUAUUCACUACUGUAAGUUGCUCUGGAUAAGAGCGUCUGCUAAAUUACUAAAA
rfam:Salmo salar isolate Sally breed double haploid chromosome ssa06, whole genome shotgun sequence.